AAACACUCAGCACCCACUCAGCACCCAAUCAGCACCCAACACUCAGCACCCAGUGCCAAAACACUCAGCACCCACUCAGUGCCCAACACUCAGCACCCAAACACACAGCACCUAAACACUCAGCACCCAAACACUCAGUGCCCAAACAGCCCCCAAACACUCAGCGCCCACACAGCACCCACUCAGCACCCACUCAGUGCCAAAACAGCACCCAUUCAGCACCCACAGCACCCAAACACAGCACCCACUCAGCACCCAAACACACAGCACCUAAACACAGCACCCACUCAGUACCCAAACACACAGCACCUAAACACUCAGCACCAAAACACACAGCACCUACUCAGCACCCAAACACUCAGCACCCACUCAGCACCCAAACACACAGCACCCACUCAGCACCCACUCAGCGCCGAAACACUCAGCACCCAAACACACAGCACCUAAACACUCAGCACCCAAACACACAGCACCCAAACACUCAGUGCCAAAACACUCAGCACCCAAACACACAGCACCCACUCAGCGCCGAAACACUCAGCACCCACUCAGCACCCAAACACACAGCACCUAAACACUCAGCACCCAAACACUCCGCACCCACACAGCACCCAACCACUCAGCACCCAAACACACAGCACCCAAACACUCAGCACUCACUCAGCGCCAAAACACUCAGCACCCAAACACACAGCACGCAAACACUCAGCGCCCACUCAGUGCCCACUCAGCACCCAAACACACAGCACCCACUCAGCACCCACUCAGCGCCGAAACACUCAGCACCCAAACACUCAGCACCCAAACACACAGCACCCACUCAGCGCCGAAACACUCAGCACCCAAACACACAGCACCCACUCAGUGCCAAAACACUCAGCACCCAAACACACAGCACCUAAACACUCAGCACCCAAACACUCCACACC
rnacentral:lncRNA from 10 species